AUACUUACCUGGAGGGCAGAUACCAUGAUCAUGAAGGUGGUUUUCCUCGGGUGAGGCUUAUCUAUUGCACUCCAGAUGUGCUGACUCCUGUGAUUUCCCCAGAUGUGGGAAACAUGACUGCAUAAUUGAA
ensembl:snRNA U1 U1 spliceosomal RNA